rnacentral:rRNA from 1 species
ACGUAGGGACCAAGCGUUGUUCGGAUUUACUGGGCGUAAAGGGCGCGUAGGCGGCCUUCUAAGUCAGACGUGAAAUCCCCCGGCUUAACCUGGGAACUGCGUCUGAUACUGGGAGGCUUGAGUAUGGGAGAGGGAUGUAGAAUUCCAGGUGUAGCGGUGAAAUGCGUAGAUAUCUGGAGGAAUACCGGUGGCGAAGGCGGCAUCCUGGACCAUUACUGACGCUGAUGCGCGAAAGCUAGGGGAGCAAACAGGA